rnacentral:rRNA from 1 species
UGAGAAGGGGCGUACUGUUCAGCAUAGAUUCUAUCUGUGUGCACUCGGUGCGUUUCCUACCUGUCGUGGGCUUUGCAUAGUCGAUUUUGGGCUGUGUAGGGCUGAGGUAUCCCCAAAUUUUGGGUUGAUGACGAUAGGGCGCCAACGCGAUACGACCCGUCUUGAAACACGGACCAAGGAGUCCAGCAUGGCUGCGAGUCAAAGGGUUUUGAAACCCCAGGGCGCAGUGAAAGCAAUUGUUGCAAAACGUUGCAGUUUGAGGCGGCCUAGGAUCGUUGAUUCUAGGUCUGACCUAGAGCAGUUAUGCUGGUACCCGAAAGAUGGUGAACUAUGCUUGAGUAGGGUGAAGCCAGAGGAAACUCUGGUGGAGGCUCGUAGCGUUGCUGACGUGCAAAUCGCUCGUCUAACUCGGGUAUAGGGGCGGAAGACUAAUCGAACCAUCUAGUAGCUGGUUUCCUCCGAAGUUUCUCUCAGGAUAGCAGGCCGACGAUAUGUUGUUGUGUGUGGUAAAGCGAAUGAUUAGCGUAUUUGGGGGCUACUAGUCUUCAGACGAUUCUCAAACUUUAAAUACGCACGGAUGUUGCUGCUUUUUUGAGCGGCAUCGUUAAAAACGUCGGCCUUGUGGGCCACUUUUGGUAAGCAGAACUGGCGAUACGGGAUGAACCGUAAACGUGGUUAAGGCGCCUAAUUAUCCGCUUAUAGAUCCCAAAAAAGGUGUUGAUUCAUCGAGACAGCAGGACGGUGGCCAUGGAAGUCGGAAUCCGCUAAGGAGUGUGUAACAACUCACCUGCCGAAUGAAUUAGCCCUGAAAAUGGAUGGCGCUGAAGCGGGUAGCCGACACCACGUCGUUUGACCAAAGUGGAAAUCAAAUGAGUAGGAGGACGUGGCGGUUGUAUCGAAGCGUAGGUGCGAACCUGCGUGGAACGGCCGCUAGUGCAGAUCUUGGUGGUAGUAGCAAAUAUUCAAACGUGAACCUUGAAGGGCGAAGUGGGGAAGGGUUCCACGCGAACAUUGAUUGAGCGUGGGUAAGUCGUUCCUAAGCCGAGUGGCAAUAGCUAAUUAUUGAGCGAAAGGGAAGCAGGUUGAUAUUCCUGCACACGGAUGUGGAUGCGGUGACGCACUACUGCGGCGAUGACGUCGGCGAUGGCGCUAGGCAGAGUUUUCUUUUCUGUUUGACCGAACCUAGCACGCUGUGUGGAAUCCGCUUGUCGGGAGAAACACGCGUGUUUGGGCAGAGCGCUGGGAUUUUUCCAGCGUCUAGCUCGCCAUCGACGGCCCUUGAAAAAUCGUCUGCUGGCCAAACCGAUUUUACUGUGUUUGGUGCGAAAAUUCCACGCCGUAACGUACCGAUAACCGCAGCAGGUCU